rnacentral:rRNA from 1 species
UUAAAAAGCUCGUAGUUGGAUUUCUGUGUGAGAGGGACGGGAAGGCGCAAGCGUUUUUUCUGACCUUUUGCACAUCCUGUCACAAGCCACGGUGCUCUUUAUUGUAGUGUCGUUGGGGAUUGACUCGUUUACUUUGAGAAAAAUAGAGUGUUCAAAGCAGGGUAUCCCUCUGAAUAAGUUAGCAUGGAAUAAUGAUAAAGGACUUCGGUUCAUUUUGUUGGUGUUUGGGACUGAAGUAAUGAUUGAUAGGGACAGUUGGGGGCUUCAGUAUUCAAAAGCGAGAGGUGAAAUUCUUAGACCUUUUGAAGACUAACCGCUGCGAAAGCGUUAGCCAAGGAUGUUCCCUUUGAUCAAGAACUAAAGUUUGGGGAUCGAAGACGAUCAGAUACCGUCGUAGUCUGAACUAUAAACUAUACCAGCUAGGGAUCGGCCGACGUAAUGUUUAAGGACUCGGUCGGCACCUUAUGAGAAAUUAAAGCAUUUGGGUUCCGGGGGGAGUAUGGUCGCAAGGCUGAAACUUAAAGGAAUUGACGGAAGGGCACCACCAGGUGUGGAGCCUGUGGCUUAAUUUGACUCAACACGGGAAAACUUACCAGGUCCAGACAUAGUUAAGGAUUGACAGAUUGAGAGCUCUUUCU